rnacentral:lncRNA from 1 species
GUGCCUCCUCCUUCUUGAUUUGGACUCUUCCAAAGAUGAAAAGUAGAAAGAGGAGUUUCAGAUCUGAGACACUCUCAGGAAACUCAAGAUGGAGGGAGGAAAGAUAUGAAAACAAAAACCCUAGAAGAAGACCCUCUUCUUCUUCACGUUUUUCUCUCUAGACACCCAAACUUGCAUCUUUUAUAUCUCUACGACCCAAAGGUAUUUCUCUCUGAUUUUUGGAUG